rnacentral:lncRNA from 1 species
AGCUUGCUGCAACAAAGCUCAACCUUCACUCCUCAAUCUCCUUACACCAAAGCUCAAUUUCACCAUUUGUAGAGCAAGCUUCACAUUGAAGCUUGCUGCAACAAAGCUCAACCUUCACUCCUCAAUCUCCUUACACCAAAGCUCAAUUUCACCAUUUGUAGAGCAAGCUUCACAUUGAAGCUUGCUGCAACAAAGCUCAACCUUCACUCCUC